GGCUGCGAUCGACUGAUGGUAUAGUUGCAUUUAUUUGUGCUGUGAGCUACGACACAGAAAGCAGGAAACGGUUUCCUUUGCCAAUGAAAUAGAUAUUUCUCAUAUUGCUGUUAUUCAAGAAGACUCAGAAGAGGGUGGUAUAAUUGCCAGCUGGCUAUAAAACUUCGUGGUGCCUUGGAUGACAGGUGUAUGUAGGAAUGCUUGGUGGUACCGUGGUAGGCGCAGGAGGACAUGUUGUCUGAUGUGAUUAAGCCUUGAGUGGCGUACGUUGGACUGUUUACAUUUCCGGGCAGGUUACGCCAGCGCAUGCGCAGUGAAGUCGAACUUUCCCGAAUUUUUCUGCGAAAAGUUCGAAAGUUUCGAACUUUUGCGAACUCGAACUUUGCCAGGUUCGUGACAUCACUGGUUUUCACACAAUCCUCACGUGUUUCAU